UACUGGCUUCCAGACACAUUGUCCAUCACUUAGGCAUGACGGGGAAGUGAGCCAAAAAUGAAUCAAGCUAUCACACCCCAAUGGAUCUCUUGGAAACACGAGCAGGAGCAGUCAGAGAGGAAAUUCUAUGGUAAAUCUCAGCACAGGAGUGGGAUUCCAGAUUAAUUAGUGGUAGAGAAGGGCUGGAAGUUUGCAUAACAUCUAGUGGCCUCAUCUAGCAUCUGUCCCUAUCACUCUCUAGGCUCCAGGUCCUCUUCCUAGCAGAGAGCAUGAUUCAAUCCUUACCCAGUGCCUUGGCCAACUAAUUAUGUUUUUCAUUUAUUUUUAUUAUUUUAUUUUUUUUUCCAGGAGAUUAGGUUUGAUUUUUGCUUUUCUCUAAUCUCUGCUAAUCUCAGCCUGUUGGACCUCUCCAUGUAGCAGAUGCCGGGUUGAUUGCAGUGUGUAGCUCAUCCCCAGCUGUAGUGCAGGAGAUGCAUCUCCUGUGGCUGGAAAAUCUCCUGAAUUUACCUUUGCUAAGUGGCAAUUGCUAAUUUGUUGAGGGGAAGCCAGGGAAGCUGAGGAGGGCUCUUGAAGCAGACAAAAGGGGUGUGGAAAUCAGCCCUGCAGGAGCCACAGCUCCUCUGUGGCAGGAACCUGCAGGUUUUAGACUUGCAAAAUGUUUUAUAGUUAGGAGAUGGGGUAUGGGUGCUGGAGAGUGCCAGCUCGUAGAUUCCCCAGCACAAGUGAGAGGAAGAAGAGUUGCAGAAGAGAAAGAAAUUGCAGGCAAUUUGUUUGUCCUGUGGGUAUAACUUCUGAAAGCACUAACAAGAACCACAGGUAAUUUAUGGAGAGGCCCGGGGAACACUGCUGGGAGAGGAGAAAGAGGACCCCAGAUUGGAGCCCUUAACUCAUCACUCAUAAGGAGAAAUUCAGCUCCAGGCUCCGGGAUGGUUUGUACAUAAACCCACUGGACCACAUCACAGAGAGAUGGGAGCUGGUUGUGUCGGGCUGUCCCGAGGGAGAAUCCAAACAAACUGCAGGGAUGCUGUCCUCAAAUUGGUGUAAAUCAGGAGCCAUUCAGCUGAAGCCCAGGGCGCUCAUCGAGUAUUUGGCUUGUGUAAGUGCCUGGCUGCUGUGCCCUUGGAUGGAACAAUUUCCAUUUGAAGCCAUUCUCGUAACUGCGGAGACAUUUCCAACGAGCUGCUGGCACCCGAAGUGAGGCUGCAGCUCCGUGAUGCAAUGACCAAACCCCGCACGGCUGCGGAGCAUCAAACUCUUGGCUCUGUUAACUCGGCUCCUCGGCACUGACGUUAGACUGGUGAUGUCCACCCACCAGGCUGCCUGCUAGGCCAGGUAAAUUGAGGUAGUAAACGACAAUAAGUGAUUCCUUCCUCCUCUCCUGGGUCUCCCAGUCCACCUCACCUGGUGUUUCCGAGCUGAGAGGUGAGCCAGGAAUGACAAAAUCACAGGGAAUUCCUAAUCUCUCUUGAUUUUGAGGCUAGACCAUGGUCCUUUGAUGCCAACAUGAGCCCUCCCUCCAUUUGACCAGACUGUGCCAGGACUUCUAAAGGAAUAUCACAGAAGAUGCCGUGUAGGAACAGACUGAGAAAUCAGAAACGCUGCUCUUAGUGAGCUUUGGCUGAACCUAGAGCAAACCCAGUGCAAGAUCCAGGGCUGAGAUUCUCUUCUGGUUUCCACUGGAUCUUCAUCUCCAGUCGUGAGAACAGCUGGGAGCAAUAUGGUACCGAUGGCAGUUGCUACAGAGCUUGAUGUGUUGGAAAUCCUGCUUGGGAACCAAAAUCAAAUCUUCAUUCUGGGUACAUUUCCCAAAGACCAAAAUUGUGAUAUCCCUUCAAGCACCAAACGGGGGCCCAUUAGAGUGCUUGUGUUUGAACAUUUGAAGCAAUUAUUCAUGUUCACCCAGCUCCGAAGAGCUACCAAACGCCAUGUGUUUUUCCUCAGUGUUAAUAAAAACCUAAAUGAUUCUUCAUUAAGAAGCCCAUUAAGAUGACUGCGGUUUCCUCGAAGCUCAUUAGAGGAUAUUCUCCCCACUAAAUUAUCACACUGGAGUUUUGUAGAAAUCUGAGGAAGGAUGCCCUAUUGUGAUUAAUUCAUGAUAAAUUUUUGCUCCCUUGCUUGCAGGCUGCUCUCUGGGCUCCGUUUUGGGUUGCAGGGAGGAAGAAAGCGAUGCUUCAGCGUGGGAGCGAUGUCCCAGAGGUGUUCCUGCCAUCUGUCUGUGCAGGGCUUCCCCUCCUCUUCCAACAGGAGCCUCCAUCGGGACCUCUCCACAAAUAAUUCCUGCUCUCCUGACCUUCAAAGCCCCGUGGAGGCCUGGUGGUGGGGAUGGCCAGGAGGAAGCUGCCGUGUCCCGAACCGUUCCUCCAUCCCUGGAGGUCACUGAGCCACCUCUCACCCAUGGGCAAUCUCAUGCAAGGAGCUUGUGGGGCCGAAGCAAUGGUUUUAAGCUCUGCCUGUGCUGCUAAAUCCAUGCAGGAUCCACGUGUGGCCUCCCCAUUUCAUUUCCUCCUCAGCCUGGUGGUAAACUGGAGGAGCUGGGGGCUGCCGAAGUGUGGGAACGCGGGCUGCUUUAACAGAACGGAGCCGCUCUAAUCUCCCACCGAGUAUUAAAAUCUCAUUUUAUGGUACAUUAUACACUUGGCCUUUAGAACAAUCGGUGACCAUAAAUGGUGUUUGCGUCCCGAAGCCAAAUCUGGGGAAAGAACAAGAGAUAAUCCGUCUGGCUGGAGAGGAUGGAGCGGGGAGGGCUAGCGCUGCGCAAUUAUUUAUGUCCAUUCAGAGGCAGAGGGAAAUUAAGUGCAUUAACUGGGCUGCCAGGCCCUCCUCAGAAUGGGGCUUUAAAUGAUAUUGAUGUGGUGCUAAUAGGAGCACAGUUUGUCUUUUGUGCAUUACAGCUCCGGGCUCCGAACUGGCACUUGGAGAGCAGCGUCAGGCUUGCUCCGGCUCUUUAGGGGGAUUUGUUUCUGGGGAUUUGGGGUUUUUAAAAAGCUGCAGAGCCACUCUGCCCCAACGAGCCUCUGAGAGGUGUUUGGGGCACCCAGAGGAGGCUCCCACCCAGCCAAACCCUACAGGGCAUCCCCUUCAGUGUGCCAUCAUCAGCAGCUUUCACUCAGGCUUCAUCCACCAGCUCAGGAUCAGGCUCCUUAAAUCAGGAUUUUGCCUGAAGGGACCUGAAUGCAUCCCCUGUCUGAGGAUGACCUCUCUCAAGCCAUGGACCGGUGAACCGGAAUAUUUAUAAGGGGCCAGCUCGGGGCAGUCCAUCCCUCCCUGGGCAGCCCUGUGCUUUCCCUUCUCUGUCUGGCUUGCUGCUCACAAUUGCCAACAGGUGCUGCUGGAAUUCAUCCCUGAGUCUAACAGCGAUAAUAAAGGGCUGUGCAGGGUGUUUGAGGGAAGUCCACGGGCAGCAUACAAAUGAAGGUGGCCUGUGCCCAGCCAGGUACUAGGGGAAAGUUUCUGAGGGAGCUGUGCAAAGAACCCAUGGUUCCUUCCUGGCUGCUGGGAUUCUCUUGGCAAUUCCAUCUAUCCCACCCAAUUUUAUUAUUUCUAAGGUUUCAAUCGCUUCUUGUGCUCACGGAGGGCAGUAUUUCUUCCUCAAGCGCUGAGAUAUCACCCCACUUACUUUUAAGGGAUGCUGCUAUCUGAGUCCAGGUUGUAUUUCAUCCUAAAGUGCAUCCUUAACUGCUUCUUUUUGUGCAGAGCUCAGCCUUGAACCUUUGGCGAAGGCCUCAGGGGUCCUUAAAAGUAACUGGGCAGUGACCAGGCACAAGCAAAUGCUGCACGAGUGGGAAUGGCAGGGGAAUUCAGAUUCAGGAGGAGGAAAGCACAGAGCUCAAGCUGGGUUUCUGUGGCAGAAAGCUGUUCCCUGGCAUGGGCUGUGCACCUCUUGCACAUUCCUGAUCUCUCUGUCCACUCUGCCUGUGUGUGCGCCCUUGUAGGGCUGCCUACGAAAUCCCUCCCACCCACAGCUAAAAGUUCCUCAGACGUUGCCUCUUCCUUUCGUCUUUAAUCUCCUCCGGAAUCAGCUAUUAAAUCAAUAGCCUGCACGAUUAUCUGCUGUCAUCUUGGGAGGAAAAUGCGCAGGGUUUGAAGGCAAAUGCUGUUUAUUCAUUCCGUUCCUCCUGCAGCUCCGGCAGGAGCGCCGAGCUUGGCACGGAGCGAGCGGAGGGAGGGCAGCGCCGUGAUUUGUUGGCGUGAUGUGACAGGCAAUUUUCAGAUCUGGAUCAGAAAAGUUGCACCGAAAGUUUUCGAGGUGGCUGCGUUCGGGUUUAGCUCUGGGGGAGAAAAGCGUUAUUUUUACUUUCAGAGAAAAGACGUGAGCUUUCAAUGUGCCACAGAAGGUUUUGAUGAUUCGGUUCUGUUAUUGGAGCUGAAGCUGGCUGAGCCCAGAGCCCUCCCCAAAGGAUGUGCUGAGAAACAUGCAGAGGAACCGGGGCAAUUAACCAAUAAGGAGCCAAUCAAGGUGAUGGAUGUACGCAAUACUUUUAUUUUCUAGUUCACUUCCUUCUGAUCUAAGGGUGCAGGGACACCACUCAGGCCAGCUGAGUGAUGCUGGACCAGUUUCAGAGGAGUUACUGGUCCACAUCUGGGUACUGGGCACAUCAGUGCAGCGAGCGUGUGCAUGGGGCAGUUCUCAGCAGCUGUUCCUUGAGAGAAAGCCUUCUCCUGAUGUCCUGGGGAAAGCACAAAUGGCCAAGAUGAUCCGAUGGCAACCCAGAAAGCCAGGCAGGAGCCAGCCAGACCAGCUGGGCAUGUGCUGCACGUGCUUUUUCUCUUUCUCCCUCUUCAUGAGCUGAGAUAAUUAUUUCUGUGUGUUGCGGUUCUAAAGCGAGCAUCCCUGAUCCUGGCUCUGCCUCUUAUCAUGAGGCAGCUGCAAAAUUGCUUUCAAAUUGUUUUACAAUUGGGUUUUGCUUGUGAACCUCUCGACUCAGCGAGGCAAAGCUGACAUGAGAAAAGGGUUUGGGAAGAUGGGAGCGGACAGGGGGCCGAGCGGCCGAGGCCAGGGAGGACGAGAUGGAAGGAAGGAUGAAAGAUGAAAGAUGCUGCUUGCAGCAGGAGCCCGUGGGUCAGAGCAGAAGGGAUGUGGUCCUGCACCUCUCGGAGCCAGAAGCAGCCUGCGUGCCCCGAGCACCGCUGCUGCUGCCCUGCGUUCAUACAGAGCGCACGCAGGGCCUGGCAUGCAGCCAGAGAGGCUGCGAGGUAGCACAGCAAGGCCAAUAUCUAUCACCUGCACACACACCGUGGUUAAAACAACCACUGGGACAGACCCAGAGCCCAUUCAGCCUGCUGUCAGGUCUCCAGCAGCGAUAGGAAAAGGGGAGCCGCAGCCCCCGUACUGAGCCGGCGAGGUGCCCGGUGAGAAAUGGGAGCCUCCAGGGGAAACCCAGGCCUCUGAGAAGGGAAAAGCAAUUUUUCUCCUCGCUGCACCUGACCACAUCCACCUCCUCCAUCAGAUGCUGGGCCAAAGUUAGCACUGCUGCCAAGGUUUUUCCUUCCAGGGCCAUAAAGAUAAAAUACCAUCGGACCCAGCAGUCCCGAUAGCAGCGACUUUGUUUAAGUAACUUCAUAAUGAGUCCCAGUUCUUCUCCCAACAGAUGCCUUUGGUAUAAUAUCCUGGAGUAGCAAUGGAAUAAAAUAAAUCAGCUUUUACAAACUCAUAAACACAUAGAAGGGAACGUAAACCAAUUUCUGAUCUAGUUGAGGUGCGCUGAGACUUCACGGAGUGGCACAAAGCUCGAGUGGAGGCUGAAAUUGCUCUUGAGCCGCACUAGCAGCAGAGCUGGGCUCUCCUCCAGCAUCGGGCACCCUCCCCGUGCCUGCUCCAUGGGUGAAAAAGUGCAGAUUUUGGUGCCUGUCCCUUCCAGAGCUUGCUGCACCGCACGUGCUGCCCGACCCAGCAGCCCCACGUCCAGCACGCAUCCAGCUCGCCCUGCACAGCCCGUUGCUCUCCAAGGAAGCUCGCUCUGGAGUUUGCUGCCGCAUUUAGUAUUCGGAGAGGAGCCCAACUCGCUGAUUGUGCUGAUGGGAUAUGAAAGGCAGGAUAGAGUUUUACUGCAGAGCAGUUGACCUUGCUCCAGAGAUAUUACCGAUACACAGCUGCUAUUCAACAUUUCAAAACACUGUAGUCAUUAUGUGAAUCUGUCUGCUAAGAGAAGCAAUUAGACUUCAGAGCGUUACGAUCCACCAUUUCAAACAAAAGCUGCACACACAGGUGGGCAGGGGGGGCUCCCUCCCCAUCCCAGCUGCUGGGGGCACACGGGUGCUGGCGUGGAGGACCCAGCAAGGCAGGGGACACAGACCCUGCCCUGCUUGAAACCGUGAGAGGAUGAGGUGGCAGCACGCCCAGCUGGAUGGAUGUCCUCUGAUACAGAUGAGGGGCUGCUUGGCUGCAUGGUUGGGAUGGCAGAGGGAUGCUUCGAGAUGGAACCUGGCUCGUGCAGGGCUUUCGCCUGGCCUUUGAUCCCUUUAAACUCUUCUAGCACCAUUAAGCACACUCACUGCUUGAAGCAGGGGGGCAGGAUGGAAACCAUGGGGUCCUCACCAGGUUUAACAGAUUUGUGCCCGAUGUUGUUCAUUCCAAGGCUCCCCUUUCAAACCCUGCUGCCAGAACCCAGCCAGAGCCUGUUGGAUGAGGAAGAUGAAGAGGACCCAGCUAGAGGAACCACAGACAGGGACCUAUUUCACUCGGACCCAGCACACACCAGAGCACCCAGACAUGUCAGAGCUGCUGCCAGAGGCUCGCUCACACUCAUCCUGCGGGGAGGAACCGGGCACAAACCACGUCUGCAGCUGGGAUGUGGGCACCCAACGUGCCAGGGGGCAGUGGGAGAGCCUCCCCCUGAGCCCAGAGGCUCCCCGAGGGCUGCAGCAGCACAGGAUACCCAAGGCGAGGCAGGGACGACAGGGAAGGUUUCGUGCUUCCUAGUGAGCCCUAAUUAUGCUGAAGGCCCCUAUCACCGAUUACACUUGUUCUGCUUGUACAGCACAGGGCUGGUGGCUUGUUUAACAAUGCAUGGCGCAUUGUUCUCGCUCCAGCCCUUAAAGCCACAAAAUUGAUAUUGCUUUUCCAUGGGCAGAGAGAUAAGGCGCGUUUAGUACACUGUCAGGGCCACUGAUACCAUCGCCACACGGGGAAAUUAAAAAUCUUGACAUGGCAACAAAGCCUCUCACCCCUCCGCAGCACAUCGCGGGGCAGCGCUGCGGAACCAGCAGGAAUAGCAAAGAGGAGAGUGAGUGAGAAGACAUCCCGAGGCGGUGAGAGAAAACAGCAGCAGCUCGUGCUGGGGAAGCUGGCCUUGCACCUGAGUCUGUCCCCAGAACUUUAAGCUCAGCCUUUAAUACAAAAAAUGCCUUUUUUUUUUUUUUUUCUCUUGCUGUGCCAGCUCUCUGCAAUAAUCUCUGGGCACACAGCAAAAAGCCCGUGUUUGCAUGGCAGCGGGUGCUGCGGUCAGGAGCGAGGGGUGGUUAAGAAGGGAUGAGAGACCUGGAAGGAGAAUGGUGAGCAUGAGAUUGCCUCUGACAGGCAGAGGCGGUGGCAAUUUUUAUUUUUUUUUUUCCCUGAGAUGAGAUGCAUUUUGGUCCUUCAGUGAAAAGCGCUGAUUUGUCGCAACAGAGCUAUUUGGGUCUGGAGGCAUUCAUGAUGAAUUUCCUGGGCUGGAAAAACACAGUUUGAAAAUUAUCACGGCACCCCGGUCUCGGGUUAUGCAGACACAAAGUCUGGCUGGGAGAGUCUCAGCUGAAAUGGACCAUUCCCCUCGAAGGUUAAACUUGCGUGCUUUAAAGAAAAAACCCCGAAGCUCGAAAUUGAAAUGGAGCAAUCUAAAGCUAUCGCAGUAAAGUGUGGAGUGACCCGAUCUAAACUGCACCUCAAUUGGUCAUCUGGGGAAAAUUGGCACUACUUUGGCUUCCUAUCUCAAUUUCUGAUGGAUUUCUGUCUGUAAGAAAAAUCUUUUCCCCCGCUUUUCUCCCAAAAUGACCUGGUGGCUCCGGGGGUGGCUGUGCCAGGCUGGGCAUCGUCUCCAUGUGCUGCCUUCCUGCCUGCCCCGAGCAAAACCCAUCCUUGCAGCACCAUGGUGCUGGCUGCUGGUGGGAGCAGGAGGAGCCCAGCACUACGCACGUGGUUUUGUCGGAGCCAGGUGGCUCCAGGAGACUCAAUACGAGGCUCAAUACGAGGCGAAUUAAUGCAGUUUUAAUUAAACUUACUUUUCUGCUUGUGUGGGCCUGGGGGAGAUAAAGUGUUCAGAAUCAAAAACUGAAGAUUUUUUAGGACCUGUGGGCUUUUCUCCUGCUCUCUCACUUCUCUCCUCGCUCUCCAUUGCUUCCUCAUGUCUUUCUGCUGCAGCAGCCUGGUGCCCCCAAGCAUGCGAAGCCAGGCAGGAGACUCCUGGAGGGCAGCGGAGAGCUGCUGGUUGCACGAGGAAAGAGCAAAAAGAGCAAAAAGAGCAAAAAGAGGAGCCCUGGGGUGAGGGUAUGGCCACACGGAGUGUGGGACCACCGCCAGCUCGACACGAAGCAGAGCCACAGGGCGAGGGAUGACCUGAAGGUGGAACAAAAUCACAGAGGCACCAAAUCACAGAAUGGUUCAGGUUGGAAGGGACCUCAAAGAUCAUCUAAUCCCCACCUGCCACCUCCCACCAGACCAGGUUGCUCGACAGAAAUAGAGGAGCAGGAGCAGAAGACAUUAGCAGAGCCCAAAAGAAACUAGCACGGGCUUCAUCCAAAUAUUUCCAUCCUAAAACAAAUAACAUUUGUUGUCUGAGACUCCUGGCUCCCCUCCUCGAAGGCUUUCCCCUCCCUGCCGCUAUCCUGUUAAUGAAGUUGAUAAUGAGCCGAGCAAAUCCUGCUGGAUAAGGAGCUAAUCAGGAGGCUGGAGCAGUGGAGCAGGGUUCAUUUUUGCAAAUCCAGAGAUCUCUUUGCCGAGAAACCCCACAGCACGGGGGCUGGGAGGGCAGUGUAAGGCAAGUCCAGGUGCUGCAGCACUUUGGGGGCACAAGGCAAAAAGGAGGGGGUGCUCCAAAGGGAAAUAAGCACAGGGAGAAACUGGUGCACGGAGGCAUCAAAUCCAGCUGCUGGGAGUUUUGGGACGUGUUGUCCUGCUCUGGGAAAGUCCCGCUGUGGUCUGGCUGGGACCCAUGGGGCUUGAGAGUGGGUUUGUGCCCCCGUGAGCCCCCCGCCUGCUCUGCAGUAUGAGGGGGAAGGAGGCUGAGCCCAGCCCUGGCCAAGCCAAGAGGGCUCAGAGAAGGACAAGCUGGGAAAGAGCCUACAGGGGAAUGUGAUCUCCCAGCAGAUGUGUUCUUUUUUUUUUUGUGGAAAUAGCAAAUGAAUGCCUAAAAUGAAGGUCUGAGGGCUAAUGAGACCGUGUGGCUUGUCUGCAUAUACAAACAUUAAAUUCUUGCUUUUGUAAAGGGCAGAAAUGGCAUUCACUCGAGUCUGACCAAACUUCACCAACUCUCAUCUGAAAAACACAUUUUGUCAUCUAAUGAUAGCCUUCACCCCAAAGAAAACAGCAAAGCAAAAGGGUGGACCAGCCACAGGGUAAUCCCCAGAGCCAACCUAAAUACCCUGCCUCGAACAUAAAGAAGUUUCGAGUUGACCCAGCGGGGAAAUAAACAAUUUUUCUGGCUCAUCACCAGAAUAUCGGCUUUCUCAGGUUCCUCUCCUGAACCAGACCAAGCUAGGUGUUGAUGUCCUCUAGCUGGUAUGGGCUGGGUGUGCGGGGGGAGG